rnacentral:tRNA from 2 species
GCCCCCGUGGUGAAAUCGGCAGACACAGCGACCUUAAAAGUCGCCGCCUUAGGGCAUGCGGGUUCGAGACCCGCCGGGGGCA